rnacentral:sRNA from 1 species
UUGAUCUUACCCACGGGAAGUAUCAGAAGCAUCAAGCCGAAGAUGCGGGUCGAUCGCCGUGAGACAACGCCAUGCAAUGGCGGCCCGUACGGCAAGGAACGCCGUGACGCGUCAUCCUUCCCCCAUCACCC